CUUAUUUUAACCUGCGAGAGAAGCGGACGUGCCAGCAGCUCAAAAUUUAAAUUUCAAUUAAAAGACUAAAAGUCCGAAAUAUAUAUUUUUUGAGUGGCAUCCAGUAUUUUUGAGUGGCAUCCAGUAUUCUAAGUGGUGUUUAGAACUCAGUGUAGCUGCCAGCUAUAAAAGCUAGCCAGCGAAGAAAGUUUAAAGUAUUUUUAAAAUUCGUGGUGGAAAACCCAGCCAAUGCUGCCACAAGUUGCCGCCAAAGGCGCAUCUUAUUGAUUCGGCCAAUUUACUGGAGGAUUUACCACCUCAAGAAGGCCAAAAUCAAAUCUCGGGGCCCAAUCGUCAGGUUGGCCCGCGAGGAAUGAUUUGGAGAGAUUUGUGCCCUGAAGUACCCCUAUCUACUAUCUACCUAUCUACGGGUCAUGUAGUGCCGACCAAGAAGAGCAGUUUAUAUAAAGAGGACCGAUGGCAAUUUAAUUCAAUUAUAUAUGCUGUUCCGAUGCCCGUCAUGCCGCGCAUCCGUACACCAGCCGAGUUUUAAGGGGUGCGCGUAGCCGUCUGGGAGGUUCCCGAGUGGAAUAUCGCUGCCGCAGAUUUGGGGAUUUAAACCAGUUUUUGUUGUAAAAGCGCCGCGUGUGUGAACGGCCUUAACCUAGCAUGGCACACUAGCCAACCGGGUUUAGCCUUAAUGGAGAUAAAAACUCUUUCGUAUUGGAUCAGUUCUAACCCUUUUAUAUAAUUAACGCGCUUUGAGAAACCGAAUUUAAGAAUUAAUGUGAAAAGAAAAUCAAUGAAAUCAAAGAUAUGUAAACCAUAAAGCAAACAAUAAUUUUUCGUAAAGCCUCAAGUGGCAACGCCAUGUAAAGCGAUAGUUAUAUUUGACAAAUUGAAAGAAAUUAACAAGUCACUCGGGUUAAAAAAGGUAAUGCACGCCGAGAAGCAUUAAUUUAAUUUAAGAAGAGCUAGAUUUUUUUUAGGUUUAAAUGAGAAAUUUCGUUCGCGCGUCUAAGAGAUAUGAGAGAAAUGUUUAUUUGCCCUUUAAAUUCUACAUGGCGAGAAAUAUCGCUACCCUUUAGAUUACAGCCAACCCAUCCCGUCCGGAGAUCGAUCUUCAACGUUGGAGGAAAUGCCGUGAGUCACACUUACUAAUCACUUAUAUAUAUUACUUUAUUCACAUUUCUCGCCGAUCCGUAAAGUGAACGAAACUAAUUUGAACAUAAACCCCGAUCUAAAAACAAUUAAUUAAUUAAAAUACCUUGAGUUAUUUGCAUUCUCUAUGAAUUAAUUUGCGAUUUUCAAAAGAAGUUCAACAUAAAUUACGAUCGCCUACUAUUAAGUCCUAAAGUCUCUAAUUGCCUAAAAACAUGAAUUGAUAAAUUUUAGAGAAAGUCCCUUGAAGAAGUUUUUAGAGAAAAAAAUAAUACAGAAUACCUAAAACUAAAGGAAAACUAUUUCUUUAAGCUAAAAUUUAUAUUUAGUAAAAUACAUUGUUAUAUCAUGAAUAUUAUCUUCCUAUGCCUUUUUUUUCAAAUACACUAUGUUCUUUUUAUAAAUA